GACGAACGCUGGCGGCGUGCCUAAUACAUGCAAGUAGAACGCUGAAGAGAGGAGCUUACUCUUCUUGGAUGAGUUGCGAACGGGUGAGUAACGAGUAGGUAACCUGCCUUGUAGCGGGGGAUAACUAUUGGAAACGAUAGCUAAUACCGCAUAACAAUGGAUGACACAUGUCAUUUAUUUGAAAGGGGCAAUUGCUCCACUACAAGAUGGACCUGCGUUGUAUUAGCUAGUAGGUGAGGUAAUGGCUCACCUAGGCGACGAUACAUAGCCGAGCUUAGAGGGUGAUCGGCCACACGGGGACUGAGACACGGCCCAGACUCCUACGGGAGGCAGCAGUAGGGAAGCUUCGGCAAUGGAGGCAACCCUGACCGAGCAACGCCGCGGGAGUGAAGAAGGUUUUCGGAUCGUAAAGCUCUGUUGUAAGUCAAGAACGGGUGUGAGAGUGGAAAGUUCACACUGUGACGGUAGCUUACCAGAAAGGGACGGCUAACUACGUG
rnacentral:rRNA from 1 species